ACGUAGGUGGCAAGCGUUGUCCGGAAUCAUUGGGCGUAAAGGGAGCGCAGGCGGAAACUUAAGCAAAUCUUAAAAGUGCGGGGCUUAACCCCGUGAUGGGGUUUGAACUGAGAUUCUUGAGUGCAGGAGAGGAAAGCGGAAUUCCCAGUGUAGCGGUGAAAUGCGUAGAUAUUGGGAAGAACACCAGUGGCGAAGGCGGCUUUCUGGACUGUAACUGACGCUGAGGCUCGAAAGCCAGGGUAGCGAACGGG
rnacentral:rRNA from 1 species